rnacentral:rRNA from 1 species
AACCCUGAGGCGUGAUGACGAUGCACUACGGUGCAGAAGUAGUUGAUGCCCUGCUUCCAGGAAAAUCCUCUAAGCUCCAGGUAACAUUAAAUCGUACCCCAAACCGACACAGGUGGUCAGGUAGAGAAUACCAAGGCGCUUGAGAGAACUCGGGUGAAGGAACUAGGCAAAAUGGUGCCGUAACUUCGGGAGAAGGCACGCUGGCAUGUAGGUGAAGUCCCUUGCGGAUGGAGCUGAAGCCAGUCGAAGAUACCAGCUGGCUGCAACUGUUUAAUAAAAACACAGCACUGUGCAAACACGAAAGUGGACGUAUACGGUGUGACGCCUGCCCGGUGCUGGAAGGUUAAUUGAUGGGGUCAGCCGCAAGGCGAAGCUCUUGAUCGAAGCCCCAGUAAACGGCGGCCGUAACUAUAACGGUCCUAAGGUAGCGAAAUUCCUUGUCGGGUAAGUUCCGACCUGCACGAAUGGCGUAAUGAUGGCCAGGCUGUCUCCACCCGAGACUCAGUGAAAUUGAACUCGCUGUGAAGAUGCAGUGUACCCGCGGCAAGACGGAAAGACCCCGUGAACCUUUACUAUAGCUUGACACUGAACAUUGAGCCUUGAUGUGUAGGAUAGGUGGGAGGCUUUGAAGCGUGGACGCCAGUCUGCGUGGAGCCAUCCUUGAAAUACCACCCUUUAAUGUUUGAUGUUCUAACUCUGCCCCAUAAUCUGGGGUGAGGACAGUGUCUGGUGGGUAGUUUGACUGGGGCGGUCUCCUCCCAAAGAGUAACGGAGGAGCACGAAGGUUAGCUAAUCACGGUCGGACAUCGUGAGGUUAGUGCAAAGGCAUAAGCUAGCUUGACUGCGAGAGUGACGGCUCGAGCAGGUACGAAAGUAGGUCUUAGUGAUCCGGUGGUUCUGAAUGGAAGGGCCAUCGCUCAACGGAUAAAAGGUACUCCGGGGAUAACAGGCUGAUACCGCCCAAGAGUUCAUAUCGACGGCGGUGUUUGGCACCUCGAUGUCGGCUCAUCACAUCCUGGGGCUGAAGUAGGUCCCAAGGGUAUGGCUGUUCGCCAUUUAAAGUGGUACGCGAGCUGGGUUUAGAACGUCGUGAGACAGUUCGGUCCCUAUCUGCCGUGGGCGUUGGAAGAUUGAGAGGGGUUGCUCCUAGUACGAGAGGACCGGAGUGAACGCACCACUGGUGUUCGGGUUGUCAUGCCAAUGGCAUUGCCCGGUAGCUAAGUGCGGAAAAGAUAAGCGCUGAAAGCAUCUAAGCGCGAAACUUGCCUCAAGAUGAGUCUUCCCUGGGCCUUUAAGGCCCCUGAAGGAACGUUUAAGACUAAGACGUUGAUAGGCUGGGUGUGUAAGUGCAGCGAUGCAUUGAGCUAACCAGUACUAAUGAUCCGUGAGGCUUAACCUUACAACACCGAAGGUGUUUUAG